GACGAACGCUGGCGGCGUGCUUAACACAUGCAAGUCGAACGGUAAGGCCCUUCGGGGUACACGAGUGGCGAACGGGUGGGUAACACGUGGGUAAUCUGCCCUGCAGUUCGGGAUAAGCCUGGGAAACUGGGUCUAAUACCGGAUAUGAGCUCCCACCGCAUGGUGGGGGUUGGAAAGUGUUUCGGUGCAGGAUGAGCCCGCGGCCUAUCAGCUUGUUGGUGGGGUAAUGGCCUACCAAGGCGACGACGGGGAGCCGGCCUGAGAGGGUGAUCGGCCACACUGGGACUGAGACACGGCCCAGACUCCUACGGGAGGCAGCAGUGGGGAAUAUUGCACAAUGGGCGGAAGCCUGAUGCAGCGACGCCGCGUGGGGGAUGACGGUCUUCGGAUUGUAAACGCCUUUCAGUAGGGACGAAGCGAAAGUGACGGUACCUGCAGAAGAAGCACCGGCCAACUACGUGCCAGCCGCCGCCGUAAAAC
rnacentral:rRNA from 1 species